rnacentral:rRNA from 1 species
GACGAACGCUGGCGGCGUGCUUAACACAUGCAAGUCGAACGGAAAGGCCCUGCUUUUGUGGGGUGCUCGAGUGGCGAACGGGUGAGUAACACGUGAGUAACCUGCCCUUGACUUUGGGAUAACUUCAGGAAACUGGGGCUAAUACCGGAUAGGAGCUCCUGCUGCAUGGUGGGGGUUGGAAAGUUUCGGCGGUUGGGGAUGGACUCGCGGCUUAUCAGCUUGUUGGUGGGGUAGUGGCUUACCAAGGCUUUGACGGGUAGCCGGCCUGAGAGGGUGACCGGCCACAUUGGGACUAAGGUACGGCCCAGACUCCUACGGGAGGCAGCAGUGGGAAAUAUUGCACAAUGGGCGGAAGCCUGAUGCAGCAGCGCCGCGUGCGGGAUGACGGCCUUCGGGUUGUGAACCGCUUUCGCCUGUGACGAAGCGUGAGUGACGGUAAUGGGUAAAGAAGCACCGGCUAACUACGUG